UUUCCACCAUUUCCUGUCCUGUGGGUGGAGUCAACCAAUCAGAUCCUUCUAGUCACGUGCUGCCCAGGUGUGCUUCCUUGUCAUUAGUUUCCUGUUUUGCCCAACAUGUUGUGCCAUGUGACAGGUCGCCGCCACGCACAUUGAAAGCUUGUGACAUCAGCUUGUGAACUACCGUGCGCAGAGCUGAGGGUGACACGAUUCUUGCUCUGACUGUCUCAGUCUGUCAGAUCGUCUCUGCCACGACUUGGAAGCCAUUUUCAAGCAACUGAGGAAUGUCGCUGAAGCAUUAUCAAAGGUGACUGAGGUGGAAAAAAAGGAAGCACUUAUGAACAUGAGCAGAUGCACGCCGUUGUUCUCCUCCCAAGCACCAAGAAGAUGAUCUGGUUGCCUCUGUCCAUCAUAAAGUGUCAAAGGCCUAGUGGGGAGCGCUUUAUGAUGCAUUCAAG